CGAUGAACCACCUUCGGGUGGGGAUUAGUGGCGAACGGGUGAGUAACACGUGGGCAAUCUGCCCUGCACUCUGGGACAAGCCCUGGAAACGGGGUCUAAUACCGGAUAUGAGCUUCCACCGCAUGGUGGGGGCUGUAAAGCUCCGGCGGUGCAGGAUGAGCCCGCGGCCUAUCAGCUUGUUGGUGAGGUAACGGCUCACCAAGGCGACGACGGGUAGCCGGCCUGAGAGGGCGACCGGCCACACUGGGACUGAGACACGGCCCAGACUCCUACGGGAGGCAGCAGUGGGGAAUAUUGCACAAUGGGCGCAAGCCUGAUGCAGCGACGCCGCGUGAGGGAUGACGGCCUUCGGGUUGUAAACCUCUUUCAGCAGGGAAGAAGCGAAAGUGACGGUACCUGCAGAAGAAGCGCCGGCUAACUACGUGCCAGCAGCCGCGGUAAUACGUAGGGCGCGAGCGUUGUCCGGAAUUAUUGGGCGUAAAGAGCUCGUAGGCGGCUUGUCGCGUCGGUUGUGAAAGCCCGGGGCUUAACCCCGGGUCUGCAGUCGAUACGGGCAGGCUAGAGUUCGGUAGGGGAGAUCGGAAUUCCUGGUGUAGCGGUGAAAUGCGCAGAUAUCAGGAGGAACACCGGUGGCGAAGGCGGAUCUCUGGGCCGAUACUGACGCUGAGGAGCGAAAGCGUGGGGAGCGAACAGGAUUAGAUACCCUGGUAGUCCACGCCGUAAACGGUGGGCACUAGGUGUGGGCAACAUUCCACGUUGUCCGUGCCGCAGCUAACGCAUUAAGUGCCCCGCCUGGGGAGUAC
rnacentral:rRNA from 1 species